rnacentral:rRNA from 1 species
UGUAAGCGUAUACCAAAGUUGUUGCAGUUAAAACGCUCGUAGUCGGAAUUUGGCAGUUCCGGAAGUGUGCACGUCGUGUGCGCACUUUGCGGGGACUGCUUUUGUGGUCUUGCGUAGGAUGAGGCACUUUCAUUAGUGAACGUCCUCACGCACCCACUCUUUACUGUGAGAAAAUCAGAGUGCUCAAAGCAGGCAUUUGCCGUGAAUGUAUUAGCAUGGAAUAAUAGAAUAGGACUCGGUUCUAUUUUGUUGGUUUGUUGGGACUGAGUAAUGAUUAAGAGGGACAGUUGGGGGCAUUUGUAUUCCGGCGCUAGAGGUGAAAUUCUUAGAUUGCCGGAAGACAAACUGCUGCGAAAGCGUCUGCCAAGGAUGUUUUCAUUGA